rnacentral:tRNA from 1 species
ACCUGAAUAGCUCAGUAGGUAGAGCAUCAGUCUCUUAAUCUGAGGGUCCAGGGUUCAAGUCCCUGUUCGGGCG